CACACACACACUGUGAGGAGUUAAAAAGGCCUUAGGAAUUCAUCUAGUCCAGCUCUAAACAAUCUUGCUUAGUUACUUAAAAUACACUUUUUCACUUUCAUAAUUUUUGCAUGACUGGAAGAAUUGCCUCUAUUGACCCCCAAAUCUUUAUCAUUCUGGUAUAUCAGUGACAUCUGUAUAGCAUCCAUAUGCAUACAGCUGCUGGCACAAGUUGUCUCUACUACCAAGUGCAUUUGACCCUAUAUUUUUACUUUCAGAUCCAUAAUAUGUCAGAUGGAUGAAAACUGAGGAUAAAAGUGAAGAAUUUUGAGUUUUUACAUGGAAGGAGCAAGGAGGGGAAUAUACAUCCUGAUUCUCAGACCAGAGUUUGCAUGUGACUCGACCCUACCAGAUCAGUUUUGCAGGAAACUCAGGGCAGUUCCUUGAAGAUGUCAGUGCAGCAGCAGCUGGCAGAGAUGCAGUCCCAGGCUGAGAAGCAGUUCAGGGAAUUUGAUGGGCCACCUGAGCCCUAGAGGAUUUGCACAGGUGCAAACAGAGCUGGGGGCUUUUGGAUCUGGAAGAGUUAGAAACACCCUGGGCUCUCCAUGGUUGAAUGCAUUUGUGCCUCUGGUUUCACGGGAUUCCCUCUCUCCACCUUCUCCCAGGACACUCAGAGAAGUGGCUUUCAUCACAGGAGUGAGGGGGACAUCUUCAGGCCAUUAUGAGGUAGUAUCUGUGGAUCAGCUGCAGCUAAAUCCUGAAAACAAAGAGUAAAUCCAACACUUGAAGAACUGCUAAAGAUUUAUGAUGAUUCAGAAGAGAAACUGUUCAUAAAAAGAGGAUGAGCCAACUUCCCUGCAACGCGUUUAAUAACAAACCAAGGGCGCAGAGCUGCUUUCUGUAGCAUGGAGCAAAUUAAAUGGCAGAAACCACUGUGAAGCCCUGUGAAGCCCUUGUUUUAACCAUUUCUCCAUCUAUGCUUUGACAAAUAAUAUACACCAUAAGCUUCAAUUUUAAGAAGAAUGGGAUUUGACGGAACAAACUGCACCCGGACACUAUUGAGAUUGUGACACAGGCCAGUACACUUCAGGAAAUUCAAACUGACAGAAUCUCCUGCCUUCUGCUAUUGCAAAAGUGGCUUAGUGGAGCAAGACGCCAGCUCAGAGCCAUGGGCUGCAGCUCGAGGUUCCUGACCCUCUCUGCAGAGAUGGGAGUGCCUGGAGGGCUGAGGGCUUUGGCAGGGCUGAGCAUCUUGUUAUGUUCCUGAGGCUGCCCAUGAACUUCUGGACUAAGGCAAUCUUCUCUCCUCAGCUUCUCAAGUCCUGGGACUACUACAGAAGCACCAGAGGCACGUUGAUCUCUUUUUUCCUAAAACCGACUCAGCUGAGGAUGUGAUGUGGAUACAAGUGAGUUUAGCUCUCCUUGCUUCCUGGGAGCCAGCCGGAGCAGCUGGCUUCUCUGCCUGAAGCGCCCUGGCAGCUUGUAGCAGCUGGAAGCCGAGCUGGGGGGUGGAAAAGAAGGAGCAAAGUCCAUACCAAGGAGGAACUGGCAGAUAAAGCUCUCACCCCUGCAAGCCUGGCAAGUUGAUAAGCCAUCUUCAGAGAUGUCCAGAGAACUGUCUGCCCCUGCUUCCUCGCAAAACCAUGACUCAGGAGCAUUGUUCACAUCCUCAGGAUGGCAAAAGAGCUAAGAAUAAAUCCUGAAAUGCCGUCCAAAGAGACCCCGGCGAGAGGGAGGGGCAGGGAAGGAGGGGAACUGGAGAGGGACAAGAGCAAGGAACUUGGAGAUGAGGAUGCUCUGGGGCAGAAAGGAGAGAAAAAGAAAGGAGUGUGCACUUGGACAAGAGGUGCACAAAGGGAGAGGGAGAGAUGGAGUUAGAACCAGAAUCACAAGAGCAUCUAUCCCAAGAAGGAAAGUUCUGGGGAAGAGAAGAUGUUAAUUGCACACAAACAUGAAAUUAACACAUUUGUUCAUUUGAAAUGCUGUAACCCAGACUGGAUGCUUUACUCAAGGUCACAGGCUGUUCUCCUUCUGUCCCUAACUGACAGUGUCCCCACACUUGGCACUACGCUCUCUCUACCUUCCUCAGAGAUGCCAUAAAUGUAUUUAGUUAUCAGUUCUCAGCUGGAGACCCCCAAUCUUCACCCCUGACUUUAAUCUCUGGCCUGAGGUUGGGCCAAUCUUUUCAGUUGCCUGUAGCAUUGGUUUUACUACACUGUUCUGAGAAGUCCUCAAGAUUUGAGGGUUAGGAGAGGAAUACUGAGGGGUAGUACUCACAGUACCCCUUGUUUUAAGUAGAGUAUCUCCUUUUUAAUUCAUUUUAUACAUUAGGUUUUCUCCUAAGAUGUUGUUUGGAAAAAGUAUUGCUGCUUAGAAAGUGUGGCAGCUAAUGACUUGUAGGUUGGCAGCACCUGCAAAAAUUUAAUGUCUCAAAUUUAAUGUAUCCCCGCUCCCAUCUGUUUCCCUGUCCCUCUACCUUUUUCUCCUUCCUUAGAUACUGCGUCUGUUCUCCAGCCCCUCAGACCCAGAAGCAUGAUUUCCACCCACACACCUCACUCCUUCUGAUGCCUGGAAAAUGCCUCUUAGACUUGGCGCUUGGCAUUCCUACCUGCUGGGGACCUCUUGGUCCCCUCCGAUUUGGGCCUAGGUAUGUGACCAGCUUCUCUUUCCUUCUCCUUUCUAGCUGUGCACCUCUGUCUAAGCUCAUUUUCCCACUUGCACUGCUUUGCUGCAAAAUCCCCCAGUGCUCCUGUCAAUGCUCCUUCUUUCUCAUUCUCACCUCUCACCCUGGAAAUCCUCUGACCAGAAUGCACUGGGUCCUGGCCCAGCACCCUGCAGGCUUGGCUCCUGCCUCCACCUGUCUGGGACACAGACCUCUUUUGAUUCUGUUCUUCUCAUCCGCCCUGGGAACACUCCCCUCUUUGAAACUAUCAGUCUUGACCAUCCUUUGGUUUUCCUCAAGUCCAACCUUUUAUACUUCCUUCUCUGAGAUCCCCCUAGUUAUUUUAGUCCCCUUCUCUUCCUGAGUGCUUGCCAUCUUUACAGUUUGUGAUGCACAGCCUCACAUCUGUUGCACACAGGUUACUGGAUGCCUGGCCUGGGGCCUGGACCCUGGGCCCUGCCUUCUGCAAAUGCUGGGAGCUCUUGGCCUUUGGUUCUGUAUGCUCCCCUCCCUUCACUGUCCCAAUUUUCCCCAGCCAUAAUGGGCCUCUCAGGUCUGACUCACUUGUUCUUGGGCUGCAAGUCUCAGGUGGGUGCAGGCCACAUGUAUGCACAUCUGUGGUUGUUAUGGACUUCUCAGCUUCCAAGGCCAAGACUCCACAAACAAGAGGGUCUAAGCUCCCCUGCCUUUGUUUGCCCAUCCUUGGUGGAGCUCCCUUUGUACUUUCCUAUUCACUACCCUGUAGUUAUCCUGGCCUCUUUGUCUUUUGGACAGGCCAGUCUUCUUCUAGCCAGGCCCUUUGCCUGUGAUACCUCUUUUCACCAUCUUGGACUGAGUUGCUCUUAGUCAUCCUUCAGCCUCAGCUCAAAAUUUACUUCCAAAGGGUUGCUUUCCCAAACUGCCCAGGCUGUGUCCAUGCCCCUCUUUUAUGUUCCCAAAACACAUGCUAUGCUUUACUUUUACAACCACAAUCACAUGGUUACUUCCUUAAGACCCAUUCCCCAGCAGGCUAUGUACCACUGGGACAGGGACCUAGUUCUUCUACACUGCUUUCUGCCCUGUUCGAAGCACUAGUACCAUAGAUAGUUGGCUUGGAAUGGAAUUUUGAUUCAUUGAGAAAAUACAGUAGAAGUACUUUGGAUCUGACUUGGGAGUGAAGGGCCGGCUGGUACCAGACCCAAGGAUCCUGUCUUCCAGACUCACUGCUGGAGGCUUGACUUUGCUUUUGACUUCAGCCUUUUGGUGUUGAGCCAAGGAACAGCUUGGUAAACACAUCUCUAUCCUUCUGCAUUUUUUCUUAUUAGUUGCAAUAAAAAAGUAGUCUCUGGCUAAAAUUCUCACCUCCUUCAAUAUCCAUGGUAUCAUAUAUAACACAUUAGAAUAAAUAAAUAAUUUUUUAAAAUAUCUAUGGCAGAGCCUCUUCUCCAACCCCUACCUCUCCAUCACUGGAACAGAUUGGAGGAGCAGAUGAACACAAAGAUGAGACAGGAGCCAACUCUGUAAGCCUCAUCUCUGGGCUAGCUUGAGAGGAGGUGGGGACAGAUUUGGAAGCAGAGCUAGAAACCAAGAGGAGAGAGAAGCAGUUUCCCUAAUGGGGUCUCAGAGCCCAGGGUGGUGGGGUGAGACAUUGAGAAAGACCUGUGGAGAGGGGUCAUAUUGGGCCACAGAGUCCUACAUGUGCACCCAUCCACCAUCCAUCCAUCCAUCCAUCCACCCACCCAUCCACCCACCCACCUAUCCAUCCACCCACCCACCUAUCCAUCCAUCCAUCCAUCCAUCCAUCCAUCCACCCAUCUAUCCAUCUAUCUGCCCACCCAUCCAUCUCUCCAUCCACCCACUCAUCCAUCCACCCACCCAUCUAUCUACCUACCCACCUAUCCAUCUACCUACUCACCCAUCCAUCCAUCCAUCCACCCAUCCCUGCAACAUUCCCCCAGAGUCCACUUGUCACAAAGUUCACAGUCUAGUGAGACUCAAACACCAAAGGGGUUAAAAAACCAUGGAUUACAAACGGACUAUUAGAUCAUGAAUGGGUGCAACCAGGGUCCUGAGCUAGAGAACUAUGAGACCUCUAUCUUGGACCAGAAGAUUGAGUACAGGAGCAAGGGCAGGUUCUCAGACUGGUAUUUCUUUCUAGCUCUAUUCUUUUGGUUGUUCUGUCUUCCAGUGGCCUUCCUUUAUACAUCUCCAAUCCACUCUCACUUUCUCCUGUCCCUAUUUUCUGUGUUCCAGUUUCUACCCUGUUGGUCCUUGCCUGCCUUUGGUUUCUGUCCAUCACAAAGUUUGAGAUUCUAGAGACUUGCCUGUUCUUUGACACUUGGGUGUUUUUAGUGGAAGCCCUUGAAUACCAGGUUCUGGGUUACCUCCCAAUCACCAGAUCCCAUGGAGUUGGAGAAUCAGCAGAUACCUUAAAAUUACACCUGCUGGGCCCCUGUGAUCUUUUGGUUCUUUUCCUCCCUCAUUCACCAUCAAUCAGUGCUUUUCUUGCCUCCGUGUCUUUUCUCACCUCCUGGGGUUCCCAUCCUUCUGCCCCAUGGAGGAUGAGUGGUCUGAAGAUAGAAAGGAGAGCCGUUUUCCUGGGGCAGCCCCUCUUUCCCCCAGGCACAUGGGAAGACUUUGUUUAAAUCCUUGCUUUUCUGAGAGAGAACAAGUUGAUUUGUGGCACCAUCACUUCAUCCUUCCUCAUUUCUGUCCUGUGCUUCUUUGUUCUGUCAGACUCAUGGGAGAAGGAAGUAGGCAAUUUACUUUUCCCUUUCUAGAGAAACAAGAAUGUCAGGUAAGAAGAACCUUGAAACAUCUGGGCUAUGCUUUCUGGUAUGUGGUACAUAGUUCUGUUAGAUUCUUUCUCCCUUUCUUUCUAAAAAUAAAACACUUUAGAAGGAAAAUUGCAUUUAAUGUUUGCAUACUCUCAUUCUCCACACCCAUCAGCUCACUGACUCAGUUCACUGGCUGCCUGUCUUAGCAAGCCUAGGGAAGUUAUGGAAAUAACUUGGGCUGGCUUCAAGUUGCUGUGCAACUUUGGGUUAAUUACUUCAUCAUUCUGAGCCUCGUUUUCUCAUUCAUCAAACACAGACAAAAUAAUAAUUACUUCUCAGAUUGUUCAUGUGUGAUAAUUAAAUCAAUUAAAAUAUUUGAAGAGGCA